UACGUAGGUGGCAAGCGUUGUCCGGAUUUACUGGGCGUAAAGAGCGCGCAGGCGGCCAAGUCAGUCGAAUGUGAAAGCCCCCGGCUUAACUGGGGAGGGUCAUUCGAUGCUGCUCGGCUCGAAGACAGGAGAGGGAAGCGGAAUUCCCGGUGUAGUGGUGAAAUGCGUAGAUAUCGGGAGGAACACCAGUGGCGAAGGCGGCUUUCUGGCCUGUUCUUGACGCUGAGGCGCGAAAGCUAGGGGAGCAAACGGG
rnacentral:rRNA from 1 species